AGAAAUCGGGCAGAGAUUUAGGCCUUACGGUUAAACUCGUAGCCCUCCCAGUAGCUGUGGAGUCUAGUAAACGUGGGUUCUGCCGGGUUCGCCAGUCAUCCCAGGCUGCUGAGGGGCAGGUAGGGGGCCCGUGGGCCAGAGGAGACUCCAGGCUUCUCUCCCACUCGUCUCUGGCCUGCACCCCCUCUCGGGUAGAGGCUGCACCUCCUGCUUGGGUUCAGCCAUCCCCAAAUAUUGCAUCAACAUCCCGUGCCUCUGCCUGCGGGGCUGGGCCAGCGCCAGAGACUCAGGCGAAGCGCCAACCGCCCAGGGGCAGCAGCUGGUGAGCUGAGGCAGAGUUGCCAGAACCUCACCACCACUAAGAUUGCUACCUGGAGAUUCCUGCUUGCCCCCAACCCCAGAUCAUUGCUGCCACUCUGAAUCUAACAACCCUGCUGACAAAAAUUUCAUAGCUGUCCUUUGAAAAACUUUACAAGGCAGCCUCCCUUUAACUGACUCCUUAUGACCCACUCCCCCCGCCGGUGUGAUCCUCGAGCCCACUGUGACCCCUGCUUUGAAGAGCCUGUUGGUCCAGUCCUUCCCGCUUUCUGCAGAGCUGUUCUCCUCCUUCUAAAGAAGUCACCUGGGCCCUGGGCCCCGUCUUCCUGGCUCCACAGAGUCCCUGUGGCUGUAGGCACUGCUUCUCUCUCCUGCACUCAACCCCUCUCCCACUCCACUGCCUCUGGGUGUGCAAAAACACUGAUGUGUCCCAUAUUUUCAAAAUCUCUCCCCUGUAGUUCCCACCUGACUUCCAAUAGGUGGCCAAAGUACAGACAUUAAUGUAUAUUAAGGCACACAAUUAAUGCAUAUUAAUAAUAACAAUAAGUAAUUAUUAUUAUACAUUAAUGUCUUAAUGUAUAAUGAGAAGUAUAACUAUUCAGAAGUCCAAGCACUUGGGUCUCCGUGGUGCUAUCGCCUUGCUGUGGGCAAACCUACAUUGACACAGAGGCCACUUCCUGAGCUUGGACCAAGUCUCAGAGCUGGGGAACUGGCCCAGUGCAAAAGGGUCGGGAGCUUCUGCAACAGAGCCUGAGCUCUGCCAUCGUCGAUGACACAGCCUCCACCCACCCUCCCCAACUCAACAGAGAGAGCACUCCAUCAGACUUCUAAGACUUAGUAGGCCAGGAAGGGCUGAAUUAAAUUCUCUGAGACUUGUCUUUGGUCUGACUCUGGCAGCCUCAGUCUCCCAGAGCUCGUGGGAACUCGGCAGCCGACAGGCGGAAGGCUGGGCGACGUCGGGAGAAAUAAAGGAGGAAGAAAUUUGCUCUUAGGAUCUGGCUUGACUCUAAACGGCACAGCCAAGUCCCUGGAUACCGAGCAGAGGGCUGAACGGGGGCGGGGCGGGGCGGGGGGGGGGGGGGGCGGGGCUACGGAAGCUGGCGAGGCCGAGCCCGCCUGGGGCUUCCUGACCCCCCUCCCGGAACCCUCUGAGGUGGCGGUGGAUCUUACUCCUUCCCGCCAGGAGGAUCCAGCGACCUGCUACGGGCUUCCCGGGUCUGCAGGUCUCUGGAGCCGGUUGGAAGUGACGACCCUGAAGAUCGGCGGGAGCCGCGGGACCGAGGGGCGGGUCUGGCGCUAGGCCCUGCCCCUGCACGCGCACGCACCCCCGGAGUAGGUGGCAGUUCAGCCCAGCUGAGGCUUCUCUGCAGAAUCUGCAGCAACCAGCACCAUGUCCAUGACACUGGGGUACUGGGACAUCCGCGGGCUGGCUCACGCCAUCCGCCUGCUCCUGGAAUACACAGACUCAAGCUACGAGGAAAAGAAGUACACGAUGGGGGAUGGUAAGGGCACCCUCUUGUCCGGGCCCUGCCCACUCACGCUG